rnacentral:rRNA from 1 species
GAGUUUGAUCGUGGCUCAGAUUGAACGCUGGCGGCAUGCCUUACACAUGCAAGUCGAACGGCAGCACGGGAGCUUGCUCCUGGUGGCGAGUGGCGAACGGGUGAGUAAUGCAUCGGAACGUAUCCUGGAGUGGGGGAUAACGUAGCGAAAGUUACGCUAAUACCGCAUAUUCUGUGAGCAGGAAAGCGGGGGACCUUCGGGCCUCGCGCUCUUGGAGCGGCCGAUGUCGGAUUAGCUAGUUGGUGAGGUAAAGGCUCACCAAGGCGGCGAUCCGUAACUGGUCUGAGAGGAUGAUCAGUCACACUGGAACUGAGACACGGUCCAGACUCCUACGGGAGGCAGCAGUGGGGAAUAUUGGACAAUGGGCGAAAGCCUGAUCCAGCCAUGCCGCGUGUGUGAAGAAGGUCUUCGGAUUGUAAAGCACUUUAAGUUGGGUAGGAAGGGCGAGUAAGUUAAUACCUUGCUGUUUUGACGUUACCGACAGAAUAAGCACCGGCUAACUCUGUGCCA